rnacentral:rRNA from 1 species
ACACGUAGUCAACAUGCCCAGGGGACGUGGAUAACCUCGGGAAACUGAGGAUAAACCGCGAUAGGCCAAGGAUUCUGGAAUGGACCAUGGCUGAAAUCUACACGGCCCCUGGAUUGGACUGCGGCCGAUCAGGCUGUUGGUGAGGUAAUGGCCCACCAAACCUGUAACCGGUACGGGCUUUGAGAGAAGGAGCCCGGAGAUGGGCACUGAGACAAGGGCCCAGGCCCUAUGGGGCGCAGCAGGCGCGAAACCUCUGCAAUAGGCGAAAGCUUGACAGGGUUACUCUGAGUGAUGCCCGCUAAGGGCAUCUUUUGGCACCUCUAAAAAUGGUGCAGAAUAAGGGGUGGGCAAGUCUGGUGUCAGCCGCCGCGGUAAUACCAGCACCCCGAGUGGUCGGGACGAUUAUUGGGCCUAAAGCAUCCGUAGCUUGUUCUGCAAGUCUUCCGUUAAAUCCACCUGCUCAACAGAUGGGCUGCGGAAGAUACUACAGGGCUAGGAGGCGGGAGAGGCAAGCGGUACUCAGUGGGUAGGGGUAAAAUCCUCUGAUCCACUGAAGACCACCAGUGGCGAAGGCGGCUUGCCAGAACGCGCUCGACGGUGAGGGAUGAAAGCUGGGGGAGCAAACCGGAUUAGAUA